rnacentral:rRNA from 1 species
UACGUAGGGUGCGAGCGUUAAUCGGAAUUACUGGGCGUAAAGUGUGCGCAGGCGGCCGAGCAUGUCGAGUGUGAAAGCCCCGGGCUUAACCUGGGAAUGGCAUUGGAUACUGGCAACCUAGAAUGUGGUAGAGGGUGGCGGAAUUCCCGGUGUAGCAGUGAAAUGCGUAGAUAUCGGGAGGAACAUCCGUGGCGAAGGCGGCCACCUGGACCAACAUUGACGCUGAGGCACGAAAGCGUGGGGAGCAAACAGG